rnacentral:misc_RNA from 1 species
CCGAGUUUACAACUCCCAAACCCCUGUGAACAUACCUAUCGUUGCUUCGGCGGACCACCCCAACCCCUACGGGGCGAGGGGCCCGCCAGAGGACACCCAAAAUUCAAAAUGUAUUUUGCCUUGUAAUUUUAUUCUGAGUGGAAUUUUUAAAUAAAUCA